GGAUCGAUAGCUCAGUGGUAGAGCGAGAGAUUGCAGUUUCACUCAAUUAUCUCUAGGCCCCGCGUUCGAACCGCGGUCGGUCCU
rnacentral:tRNA from 1 species